rnacentral:rRNA from 1 species
GAUGAACGCUAGCGGGAGGCUUAACACAUGCAAGUCGAGGGGCAGCAUAGGGUAGCAAUACUCUGAUGGCGACCGGCAAACGGGUGAGUAACGCGUAUGCAACCUACCCUGUACAGGGGGAUAACCCGGAGAAAUUCGGACUAAUAUCCCGUAAUAAUAUCCGGAGGCAUCUUUGGAUAUUUAAAGUUUCGACGGUACGGGAUGGGCAUGCGUAACAUUAGCUGGUUGGUAAGGUAACGGCUUACCAAGGCUAUGAUGUUUAGGGGUCCUGAGAGGGUGGUCCCCCACACUGGUACUGAGACACGGACCAGACUCCUACGGGAGGCAGCAGUGAGGAAUAUUGGUCAAUGGGCGCAAGCCUGAACCAGCCAUCCCGCGUGCAGGAAGACGGCCCUAUGGGUUGUAAACUGCUUUUCCAGGGAGAGAAACUUACGCACGUGUUGCGUGACUGACGGUACCCUGGGAAUAAGCAUCGGCUAACUCCGUGCCAGCAGCCGCGGUAAACGUGCGUG